rnacentral:rRNA from 1 species
AUUGAACGCUGGCGGCAGGCCUAACACAUGCAAGUCGAGCGGAUGAAGGGAGCUUGCUCCUGGAUUCAGCGGCGGACGGGUGAGUAAUGCCUAGGAAUCUGCCUGGUAGUGGGGGAUAACGUCCGGAAACGGGCGCUAAUACCGCAUACGUCCUGAGGGAGAAAGUGGGGGAUCUUCGGACCUCACGCUAUCAGAUGAGCCUAGGUCGGAUUAGCUAGUUGGUGGGGUAAAGGCCUACCAAGGCGACGAUCCGUAACUGGUCUGAGAGGAUGAUCAGUCACACUGGAACUGAGACACGGUCCAGACUCCUACGGGAGGCAGCAGUGGGGAAUAUUGGACAAUGGGCGAAAGCCUGAUCCAGCCAUGCCGCGUGUGUGAAGAAGGUCUUCGGGUUGUAAAGCACUUUAAGUUGGGAGGAAGGGCAGUAAGUUAAUACCUUGCUGUUUUGACGUUACCAACAGAAUAAGCACCGGCUAACUUCGU